rnacentral:rRNA from 1 species
AUUGAACGCUGGCGGCAGGCCUAACACAUGCAAGUCGAACGGUAAUAGGAAGCAGCUUGCUGCUUCGCUGACGAGUGGCGGACGGGUGAGUAAUGUCUGGGAAGCUGCCUGAUGGAGGGGGAUAACUACUGGAAACGGUAGCUAAUACCGCAUAAUGUCGCAAGACCAAAGAGGGGGACCUUCGGGCCUCUUGCCAUCGGAUGUGCCCAGAUGGGAUUAGCUUGUUGGUGGGGUAACGGCUCACCAAGGCGACGAUCCCUAGCUGGUCUGAGAGGAUGACCAGCCACACUGGGACUGAGACACGGUCCAGACUCCUACGGGAGGCAGCAGUGGGGAAUAUUGCACAAUGGGCGCAAGCCUGAUGCAGCCAUGCCGCGUGUAUGAAGAAGGCCUUCGGGUUGUAAAGUACUUUCAGCGGGGAGGAAGGGAGUAAAGUUAAUACCUGUGCUCAUUGACGUUACCCGCAGAAGAAGCACCGGCUAACUCCGUG